UUGUCUAUACAUGUGAUUUCAUUGUGGAUUUCUCAUGUUGCAUUUUUCAGCUCCUUCAAGGCAGUUAUGUUUCUCUCCAACCUGGCUAAUGUAGUUGUCAGCUUGUAUUGUUUUAUCAUAAUUCUUAGCUUAUUUGCAUUUUGUUAGAUCAUGCUCCUUUAGAACAGUGAAGUUCGUUAUUACCCACCUUCCAAAGCCUAGUUCUGUCAAUUUAGCUAUCUUAGCCUUUGCUGGAGGAAUGUUUCAGUCAUUUGGGAAAGAAGUGGCACUCUGAAUUUUCAGCAUUUUCCAAUGAUUCCUUCUCAUCUUUGUGGGCUUAUCUGCCUUUGGUCUUUAAGUUUGCUGGGGGUUCACUCCAGACCCUAGUCACCUUGGUCCCUGCUGAACCUUGUGGUGUCACCAACGAAGGCUUUGAAACAGCAAAGAUGGCAGCCUGCUCCUUUCUCUGGAAGCUCUGUCUCAAGUAGGCACCCAAUCCUGUAUGAGGUGUCUGGAGGUCCCUAUUGGGAGGUCUCACCCAGUCAGGAGGAACAGGAACAGAGACCCACUUAAAGAAGCAGUCUGGCUUCCCUUUGGCAGAGCACGUGUGCUGUGCUGACUGCUCUGCGUCUCCAGAUCCAGCAGCCUGGAAAGACUCACUGAACUGCAGAGACAGUGGCCGUUCCACCCCCCAGGCACUCCAUCCCAGGGCAAGACCCUGAGUUCUGUUUAUAAAACGCUGGCUGGAGUUGCUGUAAUUCAC
rnacentral:lncRNA from 13 species